CCUACGGGAGGCUGCAGUGAGGAAUAUUGGUCAAUGGCCGGAAGGCUGAACCAGCCAAGUCGCGGGAGGGACGACUGCCCUAUGGGUUGUAAACCUCUUUUAUAAGGGAAGAAUAAAUGCUACGUGUAGCAUGAUGCCUGUACCUUAUGAAUAAGCAUCGGCUAACUCCGUGCCAGCAGCCGCGGUAAUACGGAGGAUGCGGGCGUUAGCCGGUUUUAUUGGGUUUAAGGGGUGCGUCGGCGGUUUUUUAAGUUAGUGGUUAAACGUCGGGGCUUCACCUGGAUUUGCCAUUAAUACUGUAGACUCGAGUUCAGACGAGGUAGGCGGAAUGAGUGGAGUAGCGGUGAAAUGCUUAGAUAUAACUUAGAACUCCGAUUGCGAAGGCAGCUUACCAGACUGCGACUGACGCUGAUGCACGAGAGCGUGGGUAGCGAACAGGAUUAGAUACCCGGGUAGUC
rnacentral:rRNA from 1 species